CACACAUGCAACUAAAAUUCAAGAGAGCGGAGUUACAGCAACAAGAAGUGCUACAGGACCUACCAAAGCUACAAGAUCCAGCAUUGCUCAGCAUCUUUUCCAUAGCACUGUUGAAAACACCUAUCUAGUCAAAGGAGUCUCCGAAGACCUCAUUAGCCAGCUGGUAAAUAUAUCAUUUGCUCUCUAAAACCUUCCUCCCAAACAGAGUGUUACUGUCAACAAGAUCAGCUCUUUAGCAUCUGUUGUUGAGCAUAUCCAGUACAGUGUAAGCAGCUUUCUGAAACCUUUCCUUCUCUUCCUCCAAGAUUUUCUUCCUUUCAAGGGCAGAAUCUUUGCAUUUUCCUAUCUCUUCCAUUAUUCCAGUAGAGUUUUGAUCAAUUUCAACUAUCAUCUUAAGCAUGUUCCCCAUUGCCGUCUGGACCUGCUGUGACAAAUCAGAGAGGAGAGACGAGAGCUGAGACUCUGCCUCUGGAGAAGAGGCGAGAAACUGAGAGUGAGGAUCGCUUGGUAGAACCGCCAUUGAAGAUGCCUGUUAAGCUUUUUCGAGAGAAAAGCGGGAGAGGAUGUUUGAAAUCAG
rnacentral:misc_RNA from 1 species